UAGGGAAUCUUCGGCAAUGGACGGAAGUCUGACCGAGCAACGCUGCGUGAGUGAAGAAGGUUUUCGGAUCGUAAAGCUCUGUUGUUAGAGAAGAACGUUGGUAGGAGUGGAAAAUCUACCAAGUGACGGUAACUAACCAGAAAGGGACGGCUAACUACGUGCCAGCAGCCGCGGUAAUACGUAGGUCCCGAGCGUUGUCCGGAUUUAUUGGGCGUAAAGCGAGCGCAGGCGGUUAUUUAAGUCGGAAGUUAAAGGCAGUGGCUUAACCAUUGUACGCUUUGGAAACUGGAGGACUGGAGUGCAGAAGGGGAGAGUGGAAUUCCAGGUGUAGCGGUGAAAUGCGUAGAUAGAUGGAGGAACACCGGUGGCGAAAGCGGCUCUCUGGUCGGUAACUGACGCGGAGGCUCAAAAGCGGGGGGAGCAAACAGG
rnacentral:rRNA from 1 species